GCUGAGAUAGCUCAGUUGGGAGAGUGUUAGCCUGACGAUCUAAAGGUCCCUCGUUUGAUCCUGGGUUUUGGCA